rnacentral:rRNA from 1 species
GGGGAAUAUUGCACAAUGGGCGAAAGCCUGAUGCAGCGACGCCGCGUGAGGGAUGACGGCCUUCGGGUUGUAAACCUCUUUCAGUAGGGACGAAGCGCAAGUGACGGUACCUACAGAAGAAGCACCGGCCAACUACGUGCCAGCAGCCGCGGUAAUACGUAGGGUGCGAGCGUUGUCCGGAUUUACUGGGCGUAAAGAGCUCGUAGGCGGUUUGUCACGUCGUCUGUGAAAACCCGAGGCUUAACCUCGGGCCUGCAGGCGAUACGGGCAGACUUGAGUACUGUAGGGGAGACUGGAAUUCCUGGUGUAGCGGUGGAAUGCGCAGAUAUCAGGAGGAACACCGGUGGCGAAGGCGGGUCUCUGGGCAGUAACUGACGCUGAGGAGCGAAAGCGUGGGUAGCGAAC